UACGGAGGGGACUAGCGUUGUUCGGAAUUACUGGGCGUAAAGCGCACGUAGGCGGAUUGUUAAGUCAGGGGUGAAAUCCUGGAGCUCAACUCCAGAACUGCCUUUGAUACUGGCGAUCUCGAGUCCGGGAGAGGUGAGUGGAACUGCGAGUGUAGAGGUGAAAUUCGUAGAUAUUCGCAAGAACACCAGUGGCGAAGGCGGCUCACUGGCCCGGUACUGACGCUGAGGUGCGAAAGCGUGGGGAGCAAACAGG
rnacentral:rRNA from 1 species